rnacentral:rRNA from 1 species
UACGGGGGGAGCAAGCGUUGUUCGGAUUUACUGGGCGUAAAGGGCGCGUAGGCGGUCGUGACAAGUCACUUGUGAAAUCUCCGGGCUUAACUCGGAACGGUCAAGUGAUACUGUCGUGCUAGAGUACAGAAGGGGCAACUGGAAUUCUCGGUGUAGCGGUGAAAUGCGCAGAUAUCAGGAGGAACACCGGUGGCGAAGGCGGGUCUCUGGGCCGAUACUGACGCUGAGGAGCGAAAGCGUGGGGAGCGAACAGG